CACACAGUUCUUCCAUUUCCCUCUAUAUCAGAACUCUUCUGAUCUGUUUCAUCUUCUUUUGGGUUCUUUCUCCUUCAAAUGGCUUGCCCGAAUCAAAUAUCUCAUGAAAUUAUUGAUUCAGCAGAAGAGAGCUUUGAGGCCUCACAGGCGGAGUUUUCAGAGGCAGAGAUAGAUCUUAUUGUCAGAAUAUAUAAUCUUAUUGGAGAGAGAUGGUCAUUGAUUGCUGGAAGAAUACCAGGAAGAACAGCUGAGGAGAUCGAGAAGUACUGGAAAUCAAAGCAUGCAAGCAGCGCCUAAAAAAAAUUUAGGUGGAGAUAUUUUUUAAUAAGCAGCUCACUGAUAUUCAAGUAGGCGCCAUCACAGCUUUUUCUCCUCAUUCCCAGCUUUGGUUGUGCAGACUCUCUCCACGCCAAAUCGCCAUUAAUGAUCUGCAACAGCAGCCAGCACAUCCUUACUGUUAGUUGAUAGCCACUUUCUGCUGCAUAUUCAGAGUUUCUCUUCUACUCCUAUAUAAAUAUAUACUAAGCUGUAGUUGUAAUGUGCUGAAUCGCUAUAUACUGAUAUAUGAUUAUCUCUACUGCAGUCCGAUGUAGUCUUCUUCUUCUCUGUUUUCUCCUGUUGUUGGUUUCUUGCAGUUAGUGCAGAUUUUCUUCAUUUUUCUCAGUUGUCAUCAGAGGAGGGGUUAUUUACUCAAUGUUAUUUGGAUAUAAGCGUUAUUAAGAUG